rnacentral:misc_RNA from 1 species
CGGCAUCAUAGCUCAACUCAUCACCUAUCCUCUUGACACAGUAAAUACUCGGCAGCGAACAGAUAGAAAUUCGAAGAAGAUGAAGAAAACGCUUGGAACUAUUGAACAUAUGUGCCAGGUUGUAAAGCAGGAAGGGUGGGAUAGGCUAUAUGGAGGUUUAGCUCCGUCGCUAGUUGGUACCGCUGCAUCGCAGGGUGUUUAUUAUUAUUUCUACCAAAUAUUGAGGAAUAGAGCAGAGACCGAUGCACUUGUACGUAAGAAGAAUGGAAUUGGUGAUGGAUCAGUCGGGAUGUUCUCAUCACUUCUGGUCGCUGCUUUAUCGGGAUGUGUUAAUGUACUGCUGACCAAUCCGAUAUGGGUAGUUGUUACACGCAUGCAGACUCAUUCAAGAAAGGAUAAAGAUAACCACCCAAAA